rnacentral:rRNA from 1 species
AUUGAACGCUGGCGUCAGGCCUAACACAUGCAAGUCGAACGAGUGGCGGACGGGUGUGUAACGUCUGGGAAACUGCCUGACGGAGGGGGAUAACUACUGGAAACAGUAGCUAAUACCGCAUACCAUCGGAUGUGCACAGAUGGGCUUAGUUAGUAGGGGGGGUAAAGGCUCACAUAGGCGACGAUCCCUAGCUGGUCUGAGAGGAUGACCAGCCACACUGGAACUGAGACACGGUCCAGACUCCUACGGGAGGCAGAAGUGGGGAAUAUUGCACAAUGGGCGCAAGCCUGAUGCAGCCAUGCCGCGUGUAUGAAGAAGGCCUUCGGGUUGUAAAGUACUUUCAGCGGGGAGGCGUUACCCGCAGAAGAAGCACCGGCUAACUCCGUGCCAGCAGCCGCGGUAAUUC